GUAACAGGGAAACCCCUUGGAAAAGGGUCACUGGAAUUGUCUUGUGCCAGGAUGCUUAGAUGGGGGCAAUGAAUGGGGGUGAUUGACAGCAUUGCUUCAAAAGGUAACAGCUCAGACAGCAUCGGUAAACUGGGUCCCAGAUGCCACUAUUUUUGGAACAUCUAGAGUAAUCUCGCCAACAAAAUUUAAAGUAUUAUUGCCGCUUCUCUCAGGAGUUUAGUUAACAGCUUGCUGCAAAAUGAAAAUCAAUUGACAAUCACAAUGCUAUGAUACAGAACCUAUUAUGUACCUACAUUAAUCUGGAUAUCUGGAGUGUCCAGACUGAAUAUAGUCCCAGACCAUAAAAAGGACAAAAUUCCUUUUGCCAUUGUGCAAUUGACUUUUGCUGGCAUCUCCUUGUCGUACCAUUGCAACAGAUCAUCUAUUCAACUCUCCACAGCAAUCCAGAUGAUGGGACUUCAUUUCCACAGCAGAUCGAAUUAAGGAUUAUAAAUGCAAUUUGAAAAGAAGUGGUGCUGUCUAUUUUCAUAUGAAAGUCAGUUUUUGCAUAUCUGGAUUGUCUCCUAGAGGCUAAUGGCUAUGCCUGAUAACAUUCACAGAGGUGCCCAGUCUCUUGCAUUCCCAGCUCCUGUGCUGAUGAAGAAACACUUGGAAUGCAUGGGCCUAUAGCAAUACAAAGGAAUUAAAAACAGUGGUACCCAAAAUGAAAAGACUGGCAACCACAAUACUUUGCUUAGGUAGACCUCCAUGAGGGGAAGGGUCAGUGCAGAAAAGUCAAUGCAGAGAGAUCUGAAGAGAUAACAGAACAAGGGAAGGGAAUACUACUUAGAUCUUACAGCUGAACUGUAGUCUACAAUAACCACAGACACAAUGAACUCUCCUUUUCUCAGGUCAGAAAAGGGAAAAAUAGAUGGCCCAGGAUUAUGGUGCCUCCCUAAUUGAAUAUAUUGGAUGGGUGGGGGAGGAAUCAAAUGGUCAGAUUGGAGCUGUUGAGGGUAACUAAUAGUGAAGGUGAUCUCCAUUAAAAGACUGCCAAGGGGGGGGGGUGUGGUGAGGAGGGAGGAAUUCUCCAUCUCCUGAUACCUUCCAGAAAGGCAGGCAGUCUUGAUGUGAAGACACGCUUUAGCCAAAUAACUGGGUGAAAUGUAAUGGCCUCUGAUAUAGCAAGGUCAGACUAGAUCUAAUAGACACCAGAAGAGACAAACAGAUUUUUAUCUGACAGAUGGGUUCCUGUUGUAACAAAGGACAAAAAAGCUAGUUCACCAUUAAAGUAAUGAGAAUGAAAAUAAGGCUGUCUACACCACACAGCUUUUAGCAAGGUGGCUGUUGCAACAGUCAUACUGCUAAGUCAGGCAGUUAGCUGCUGUUCAUUUGGCUCUUGUGCUAACAAACUUCCACCCCCAACAAGCAGUAUUUGCAUUGUCAGCAGGAGAGCGCUCCUGCCAACAAGGUGCUGUUCACACUGGCACUUGUCUUGACAAAACUCUUGUCUUGUCCUUAACACCUCUGAAAGACACAAAUUUUGUUUAAAUUGCCAGUGUAGACAUAGCCUGCUCUUAACCACCUCUUGGGGCAUAUUCAGACACUCGUAAAUGAGUCACUUGGGAGACAUAAGCACCAUGACAGUGUAACUGUUCUACUGUCACUAUUUGACAGUGCUGUAUGUGGAUCCUAAAUCCACCUAGUUGCUAGAAGCAUGGAAAGAAUGGCACUCUAAAAUACAAAGAUGUGCCCUUGGCGGCAUGGAUCAUGCCCUGGUGCUAUAACCAUAUGGAGAGGGGACUCUCUCAUGGUGUGUUACUUUUAAAAAAAAAAAAAAAAAAAGCCAGGAGGGGGAGCAUUUUCAAGUCCUAGUUGCUCCAGGCCACAUGACCUAGAAUGCACCACCCCUGCCUUCUGGAUAUAGGGCCAGCUAUGCUGGUUUUUGAGGCACUGCAGUUGAGGAUCAGGGAUUCUGAAUUCAGAACCCAUGAAUCCCUCCUGGUUUUUUCUUUAUUUUAAAAGAAAUGAAGUUUCUGACCUGUGCCAAUGGCUGCACUGCCCCUACUGAGAUGCAAGAGGCUUAUUUGUCUUUUUUUGCUGGCAUUUCAGUAAAUCCCCAGAGACUGAGAAGGAAGCAACUGACACAGCUUUAACGUGUGUGUUAAGGGGGGCACGCAAUCUCUGGGGUUGAUAGCUUAACUCCAAGUCUCCCCCCAGGGCCAGUCAGUGUGACUUAACAAAAGUUGGCUAUGACAGUGACACUGAAAGCAGCUGUAAACACGAGUCCAGGCAAGAGAACAAAAGUAUCAACACUUCUGUGGGUAGCUCACAUGUUUGUAACUAGGCAAGCUGGGGGAUAUUGUUUCCCAUAAGACUCUUGCAAUGUGAUGCACAGGUGAUUAAGCAAACUGCCAGUGCUGUAACUAGGCAUUUUAGUGACCAGGGUGAGGAAGCAUAUUUGCACCCUUCUACCAGUGGCUUUUGUCAUUUUUUCCCAUAGGGAGAUCAUUUUCUUAAACUGAAAACACACAAAACAGAGAAUCCCUCAUUGCUUCUGUUGCUAGCUGUGAAAUGAGGAGGCUCUAGAGAUAAGGUGAGCCCAGUACACAUACAACAAGCCCUGUAUUUUCUGACUUGUGUGGUGGGUUUUUUGUUUAACUGUCUAAUCAACACAUCUUUUUAUGGACCAGAUCCUUAGCUGGGGGGGAGGCAUUGUUAUGGAGCUAUGGUGACUUACACUAAUGGAACACCUAUACUUGCACAAGUUGGAUUCUGCUCUGUUACACUAGUUCAAUUACAUUAUCAUUAGGUGUAAAUGAGGGCAGAAUCUGAUCCCCAGUCCACAUUGAAUAUUUAAGCAAUAAUGCUGAAUAAUGUAAUGGCUCAAACAUUGAGCAAAAGAUUACUGCACAUCCUCGGCUGCAUUGAGGAAGGAAGAGAAUGGGGGGCAGGAAGAAUGAGGGGUCUACAUAAGGUGCUUUUGAAAAUGUAGAGCUGAAUAGCUUGUAAAAACAAGGGGUGGAGGUUUUCAACACAGCUGCUUUCUGAAGUAGUGCAAGUCACCUUUGCUGCUGCUCUUACAGUCUAAUUCUGUUUUGUGUUCAAAUUCCUAUGUGCGCACUACAAGUAAAAAUAGAUUAAGCAAGAACAUCAUGAGUCUCCAUCUACUCAUUUCCCUCACAACAAAGAAAUAACCUAAGCCCAGUAGUCAGUGCUUUCCUAACUGUUUGUUUGAAAGUCAGAAUAGUGUAUGCUACAGGAUACAAUAUAGUUGCUAACAGUAUAGCAUUUACUGGACUAAGCUGGAGAAAUUCAUAGUUGAAUUUGUCAGAAAAGAGAACACUUCUGAGCUCGGACUCAUUUUAAUAUGAGGAAUCUAAAAUAUAUAUAGUGUAGUGAUCCUGCAAUACAGAAUCUGUUGUAUACUUGCUGCUCACAUUUGAAAGAGCCACUAAUUAUUUUUGCAAAAGAUUUACAGCCAAAGUAACUUUCACCAGGACUUCUGAUGACCAUAAGUGAAACAAGGGGAACUGUUUUCCAUUAAUUUUAACCUGUAAUAUUUUGCCAAGAUGGCCUCUCUGCUUUGCUCUUCACCUCUGCAGUUUCAAUUUCUUCUGCUGAUUUGAGCAUAAAUUCUUACGUGAUCUUAACUUAAAAUAUAUCAUCAUGCUUUUAAACUUCAUUAAAAACAGCAUCCCAAGUGUUCUCAGACUGACAGAACCAAUUUAUUCUCUCUCCUAACUAUAGGAAUCCAAAUUAAACAAAUAGGAAAAAUAUUAGAGGGGAUAUUAGAACACAGCCUUUAUAGGAGCUGUGUUCCAUUCCACUCCACUCCAAACAGGUCAAUAUCUUAACUGGUUAAACUAAUGAACUGAUGAUGAAAUGCAUUUGGAAGUCCAUGCUGAAACUCUCUUAAUGACCUAGGCUUGUAUGAAGCCUAAUUCUUGCCUAUUUGACCUUAGAGAAAUAUGGUAAAUAUUUUUGAUGUACAGUAAAUCAUUUUACAGUCAA